GACGAACGCUGGCGGCGUGCCUAAUACAUGCAAGUCGAACGCAGUGGGGGCGGGUGCGUAACACGUGGGUAACCUCCCAUCAGAGUGGAUAAAACUUGGAAACAGGUGCUAAACCGAUAUUGAUGUAUCGACCAGAUGUGCAUUAGCUUGUUGGGGUGGUAACGGCUCACCUAGUCGAAGAUGCAUAGCCGACCGGAGAGGAUGAUCAGCCACACUGGAACUGAGACACGGCCCAGACUCCUACGGGAGGCAGCAGUAGGGAAUAUUCGGCAAUGGACGAAAGUCUGAACGAGCAACGCCGCGUGCAUGAAGAAGGUUUUCGGGUCGUAAAGCUCUGUUGUUGGAGAAGCGGUAUCCAACCAAGAAGCCACGGCUAACUACGUGCCAGCAGCCGCGGUAAUAC
rnacentral:rRNA from 1 species